CAUCUCCAUUUUAUUUUAGAUCAGCUUGGUUUAUAACGUGGUCUGUAGUGCGCAACAAACUCUGAAAUAUGAUUAAUUCAAUUCACUUUUAUUUGUAUGGCGCUUUGGACAUUGUCUCAAAGCAGCUUUAGAGAAACAUAUAAACACAGGAUGGAGAUUUUAAGCGUGUGAAUUUAUCCCUAUUGGGCGAGCCGGUGGAGACGGUGGUGAGGGAAAACUCCCUGAGAUGAUACGAGGAAGAAACCUUGAGAGGAACCGGACUCAGAAGGGAACCCGUCCUCAUCUGGGUAACGCCGGAUAGUGUGAGAGUAAAAGAAAGUUCAUUAUGGUUUUAUAUGAAGUCUGUUUGUUGAACUAGUCCACUGUUCACUAAAGGAGACCUGAGUGUUAAACUGCACGUGGUAAUCGCAGUCCCAAGGACAUCGCUGCAACCGCAGUCCCAGCAACCACAGCGAGAACGUCCAUGUAGAAUUGAGGUCCAAAACCAUUUCCAUGGUACUUCAAGCGGUACCGUCCUCAGCGAUCUCCAGGCUGUAGCUUGAAGUUGAUGAGAGCUCCAUCCUGUGGUAGGGCAUCAGGAUGGAUCAGGCAGGUCCGGAGAGCAGAACGGGUCAGGAUCACUUAUCAUGUAAUACUAAAAGAUUAAUAAACAAGGUGCAUUGAUUGCAUCAUCGUGAAGCUGUUGGAAAACUGCACCCAGACACAUUGACAUAAACAUGAAACACUUGUUGUUGUUGUUGUUGUUGUUGUUGUUUAUAAUUCGCCAUCAGUUCGCUAAUUUCAAUGCAUGUGUAUGCCUGAGAGUCUAAUGUCAGAGUGGUGUGUUUUUCUGCAGGAGGGCUCCAUGGACAGUCUGCAUGAGGUGGUGAGGGACGCUGGAGAGACGCAUGUCUCCACCGACUCCAGGAGAUCCAGCAGCUCUGCUGAGCUUCUCAACAGCGCUCGGUGUUCAAGAGCCACGUCUGUGUCAGGCGCAUGAAGCAAGCUGAUUUCUGUACCAAGAAAGAAAAGCACCAUCACAUGACCUCUACCCAGAGAGAAAACGAGCUUCCUGUGCAGACAGAGGAAGGAGAUGUACCAGGAAUCAUACAGAGGACACAGGAAUCUCAUUAUGGCCGACAUGAGACACGAACAUCAGCCACAACAAAUGCUAACUCACAACUGGCACUAUGGUCAGCUGGAGAUGGACACGUCAUUCCACUUUACCCGGAGAAUUCCAGCCUUUCCAUGAGACCGAGACAGAUCCAUGAGUGCUGGACUAACCCUACAGAGCAUCUCCAGGCCUGGACACCACGCCUGCACAUUUUCCAUCGACCGCUCACUGAGUACCACGCCCAUA
ensembl:lncRNA